GAUGAAGAACGUAGUGAAAUGCGAUAAGUAAUGUGAAUUGCAGAAUUCAGUGAAUCAUCGAAUCUUUGAACGCACAUUGCGCCCGGCAGUACUCUGCCGGGCAUGCCUGUUCGAGCGUCAUUUCAACCCUCAAGCCCUGCUUGGUGUUGGGGUCCCACGGCCGCCGUGGGCCCUGAAAGGAAGUGGCGGGCUCGCUACAACUCCGAGCGUAGUAAUUCAUUAUCUCGCUUAGGGCGUUGGGCGGCGCUCCUGCCGUUAACGAACCAUCUUUAACUCAAGGUUGACCUCGGAUCAGGUAGGAAUACCCGCUGAACUUAAGCAUAUCAAUAAGCGGAGGA
rnacentral:misc_RNA from 1 species